CGCGGAGGUCAGACUGAACUUUCGUCGAGUCAAGGACACACGUUUCGGUUUAUUUAUAGCUCCAGCGUUUUUCCCAUUAGCCAAGGAGCCAUUAGCCUAGCCCAGAAAGCUUUCAAUGCAGCAUCUGCGUGUUUUGUCACCCGCGCACAACACAUCUCCGAAUCUCCGUGUUUUCGUAUGCUUCUGUCACUUGAAAAAGGUGAAGAAUAACUGAAAUUCUUCAGCUUUGACAAUGUUUCAACUGAUAUACGGUGCAGCUUUGCUAAUCUGUGAAGGCCCAGCUGACUACUGGUAAGUUUGACUCAUGACUGUAAAUCCACAAGCCUGAAUGUCAGGUCAACCACAGUGGCCCAUCUAGGUAAAGAGAGCGAAGGUGUCAUAUGGGGUUGCUCACUCCAGUACAAGAUGAGGAACACCUCACUCAUUGGCGAUGGAGAUUCAAAAUCAUUCCCGCUGUAUUGGCCCUCAACCCCUAUGAUUCCAUACUCAGAAGGAGGUGUUGUGUGUCAACCAUGUGGCAAAAGACUCUGUACUUUGAAAAAUCUGGGAGCCAUCGAGAAAAAGAGAGGUGUAACGCUUGGAGAGAGAGCCUUUGGCGCACUGACUCAGGAGAAGAUUGGAUGUCUCCAGUCCUAUUACACAAAACCUCUGGGGUCGAUCAACUCUUUCCACUGCUAAUGUAAGAAGCAGUUGUGGCCAUGUUGCUGCACAGCACCAGCACAGAUGGAGACCCACAUCAUGACAGAUGCCCAACUACAAGUGAAAACAACUGGUGUUUUCAGUAUAACACAGACAGGUCAAACAAAGAAGACUCAAAAUCACGCAUGCAUCAGUAGAACUGUGCCUGCGGUCCCGUUUUUUCCCCUUCUUUAUCUUUUAAAGAUAUCCUUCGAACUACAGAUCCCUAGUACUACGGAUGCCUCGAACUACCGAGGCCAGUUUCAACGAAUUCAAGCUAUCUGUGUUAUACCGUACUUUUACUAAAGGCAUUACAACCAAAGGAGCACAGCACCAUCACACAAGGGAAGGCUUUCUACCCACCUCAAACCCCAUCAUUUAUGAAGCCCGUGCACCACAGAUGAGGUAAUGGAGAUCAAGUAUGUGCCUGGCGUGACACAAAAAAAGAAUGGGAGUUUCCAUAAGUUCACACCUGGUUGAAGGGCCCUAAGACGGUCUUCGUGACCAAACCAAGAGUAGAAGCAGCUUUUGCUAUCACUACUGCAGACUUGAUUUUGGGGGUCCUUAGCACCCAGACGUUUAUGCCGUUUAUAAAAUUGCAGGUCUCAGCCCAAACCAUGGACAGUGGCAUUAAAAGGGACUGUGCCCAAAUAUAGAGGGUAGAGACUGCCAUAGAGGGUGUAGCUUUGAAAAACAGGAAUGGAACCAUCUUUCAGAGGAGGAAAAUUGGACCGGCAGACGUCUCUACUGCCCAGGAAGAGGGACAGAUUAGAAAUAAAGAAGUCCUUCUGCAAUUUAUCGCUGUGAUUUCCUCUUUUGGCAACUUGGAGUUGUAUGUUUUUGACAAAUUUCCCUAUAUUUCUUCUUUUCAGUUAAUACUACCACUAAAUUGAUCUCUCUGUUGCAUGGCUAUCUGCAGUAUUUUGGGGUGACCUUUUUCUUAAAAUUAAAUAUAAAAGAAUUGGAUACAUUGAAAAA